UUAAGCGACUAAGCGUACACGGUGGAUGCCCUGGCAGUCAGAGGCGAUGAAGGACGUGCUAAUCUGCGAAAAGCGUCGGUAAGGUGAUAUGAACCGUUACAGCCGGCGAUGUCCGAAUGGGGAAACCCAGUGCAAUUCGUUGCACUAUCGUUAACUGAAUACAUAGGUUAACGAGGCGAACCGGGGGAACUGAAACAUCUAAGUACCCCGAGGAAAAGAAAUCAACCGAGAUUCCCCCAGUAGCGGCGAGCGAACGGGGAGCAGCCCAGAGUCUGAAUCAGCUUGUGUGUUAGUGGAACGGUCUGGAAAGUCCGACGGUACAGGGUGAUAGUCCCGUACACCAAAAUGCACAGGCUGUGAACUCGAAGAGUAGGGCGGGACACGUGGUAUCCUGUCUGAAUAUGGGGGGACCAUCCUCCAAGGCUAAAUACUCCUGACUGACCGAUAGUGAACCAGUACCGUGAGGGAAAGGCGAAAAGAACCCCGGCGAGGGGAGUGAAAAAGAACCUGAAACCGUGUACGUACAAGCAGUGGGAGCACCUUCGGGUGUGACUGCGUACCUUUUGUAUAAUGGGUCAGCGACUUAUAUUCUGUAGCAAGGUUAACCGUAUAGGGGAGCCGCAGGGAAACCGAGUCUUAACUGGGCGUUAAGUUGCAGGGUAUAGACCCGAAACCCGGUGAUCUAGCCAUGGGCAGGUUGAAGGUUGGGUAACACUAACUGGAGGACCGAACCGACUAAUGUUGAAAAAUUAGCGGAUGACUUGUGGCUGGGGGUGAAAGGCCAAUCAAACCGGGAGAUAGCUGGUUCUCCCCGAAAGCUAUUUAGGUAGCGCCUCGUGAAUUCAUCUUCGGGGGUAGAGCACUGUUUCGGCUAGGGGGUCAUCCCGACUUACCAACCCGAUGCAAACUACGAAUACCGAAGAAUGUUAUCACGGGAGACACACGGCGGGUGCUAACGUCCGUCGUGAAGAGGGAAACAACCCAGACCGCCAGCUAAGGUCCCAAAGUCACAGUUAAGUGGGAAACGAUGUGGGAAGGCACAGACAGCCAGGAUGUUGGCUUAGAAGCAGCCAUCAUUUAAAGAAAGCGUAAUAGCUCACUGGUCGAGUCGGCCUGCGCGGAAGAUGUAACGGGGCUAAACUGUGCACCGAAGCUGCGGCAGCGACACUAUGUGUUGUUGGGUAGGGGAGCGUUCUGUAAGCCUGCGAAGGUGGCCUGUGAGGGUUGCUGGAGGUAUCAGAAGUGCGAAUGCUGACAUAAGUAACGAUAAUGCGGGUGAAAAGCCCGCACGCCGGAAGACCAAGGGUUCCUGUCCAACGUUAAUCGGGGCAGGGUGAGUCGACCCCUAAGGCGAGGCCGAAAGGCGUAGUCGAUGGGAAACAGGUUAAUAUUCCUGUACUUGGUGUUACUGCGAAGGGGGGACGGAGAAGGCUAUGUUAGCCGGGCGACGGUUGUCCCGGUUUAAGCAUGUAGGCGGAGGUUCCAGGUAAAUCCGGUACCUUAUUAACGCUGAGGUGUGAUGACGAGGCACUACGGUGCUGAAGUAACAAAUGCCCUGCUUCCAGGAAAAGCCUCUAAGCAUCAGGUAACAUUGAAUCGUACCCCAAACCGACACAGGUGGUCAGGUAGAGAAUACCAAGGCGCUUGAGAGAACUCGGGUGAAGGAACUAGGCAAAAUGGUGCCGUAACUUCGGGAGAAGGCACGCUGAUAUGUAGGUGAAGCCCCUGCGGGUGGAGCUGAAAUCAGUCGAAGAUACCAGCUGGCUGCAACUGUUUAUUAAAAACACAGCACUGUGCAAACACGAAAGUGGACGUAUACGGUGUGACGCCUGCCCGGUGCCGGAAGGUUAAUUGAUGGGGUUAUCCGUAAGGAGAAGCUCUUGAUCGAAGCCCCGGUAAACGGCGGCCGUAACUAUAACGGUCCUAAGGUAGCGAAAUUCCUUGUCGGGUAAGUUCCGACCUGCACGAAUGGCGUAAUGAUGGCCAGGCUGUCUCCACCCGAGACUCAGUGAAAUUGAACUCGCUGUGAAGAUGCAGUGUACCCGCGGCAAGACGGAAAGACCCCGUGAACCUUUACUAUAGCUUGACACUGAACAUUGAGCCUUGAUGUGUAGGAUAGGUGGGAGGCUUUGAAGCGUGGACGCCAGUCUGCGUGGAGCCAACCUUGAAAUACCACCCUUUAAUGUUUGAUGUUCUAACGUUGGCCCCUUAUCGGGGUUGCGGACAGUGUCUGGUGGGUAGUUUGACUGGGGCGGUCUCCUCCCAAAGAGUAACGGAGGAGCACGAAGGUUAGCUAAUCCUGGUCGGACAUCAGGAGGUUAGUGCAAUGGCAUAAGCUAGCUUGACUGCGAGCGUGACGGCGCGAGCAGGUGCGAAAGCAGGUCAUAGUGAUCCGGUGGUUCUGAAUGGAAGGGCCAUCGCUCAACGGAUAAAAGGUACUCCGGGGAUAACAGGCUGAUACCGCCCAAGAGUUCAUAUCGACGGCGGUGUUUGGCACCUCGAUGUCGGCUCAUCACAUCCUGGGGCUGAAGUAGGUCCCAAGGGUAUGGCUGUUCGCCAUUUAAAGUGGUACGCGAGCUGGGUUUAGAACGUCGUGAGACAGUUCGGUCCCUAUCUGCCGUGGGCGCUGGAGAAUUGAGGGGGGCUGCUCCUAGUACGAGAGGACCGGAGUGGACGCAUCACUGGUGUUCGGGUUGUCAUGCCAAUGGCAUUGCCCGGUAGCUAAAUGCGGAAGAGAUAAGUGCUGAAAGCAUCUAAGCACGAAACUUGCCCCGAGAUGAGUUCUCCCUGACUCCUUGAGAGUCCUGAAGGAACGUUAAAGACGAUGACGUUGAUAGGUCGGGUGUGUAAGCGUAGCGAUACGUUGAGCUAACCGAUACUAAUGAACCGUGAGGCUUAACCUU
rnacentral:rRNA from 1 species